GAGUUUGAUCAUGGCUCAGAUUGAACGCUGGCGGCAGGCUUAACACAUGCAAGUCGAACGAUGAUUACUAGCUUGCUAGUAUGAUUAGUGGCGAACGGGUGAGUAAUGCUUAGGAAUCUGCCUAUUAGUGGGGGACAACAUUCCGAAAGGAAUGCUAAUACCGCAUACGUCCUACGGGAGAAAGCAGGGGAUCGCAAGACCUUGCGCUAAUAGAUGAGCCUAAGUCGGAUUAGCUAGUUGGUGGGGUAAAGGCCUACCAAGGCGACGAUCUGUAGCUGGUCUGAGAGGAUGAUCAGCCACACUGGGACUGAGACACGGCCCAGACUCCUACGGGAGGCAGCAGUGGGGAAUAUUGGACAAUGGGCGAAAGCCUGAUCCAGCCAUGCCGCGUGUGUGAAGAAGGCCUUUUGGUUGUAAAGCACUUUAAGUGGGGAGGAAAAGCUAAUAAUUAAUACCUAUAGCCCUGACGUACC
rnacentral:rRNA from 1 species